rnacentral:rRNA from 1 species
UGAAUACGAGAUGCUACGGCGUCGAAGCAGUGUAUGUCAGACUUCCAAGAAAAGCUCAAUGUCAUAAAUAAAGAAUGCCUGUACCAUAACCGACACAGGUGGGUAGGUAGAGUAUACUAUGGGGCGCGAGAUAACUCUCUCUAAGGAACUCGGCAAAAUAACUCCGUAACUUCGGGAGAAGGAGUGCCUUCUAUUAGAAGGUUGCAAUAACAAGAUCCAAGCAACUGUUUAUCAAAAACACAGGUCUCCGCUAAGUCGUAAGACGAUGUAUGGGGGCUGACGCCUGCCCAGUGCCGGAAGGUUAAAGAAGUUGGUUAGCUUUGGCGAAGCUGAUGACUGAAGCCCUGGUGAACGGCGGCCGUAACUAUAACGGUCCUAAGGUAGCGAAAUUCCUUGUCGGGUAAGUUCCGACCCGCACGAAAGGCGUAAUGAUUUGGAUACUGUCUCGGAGAGGGACUCGGUGAAAUAGACUUGUCUGUGAAGAUGCGGACUACCUGCACCAGGACAGAAAGACCCUAUGAAGCUUUACUGUAACUUGAAAUUGAAAUUGGACUUUAUUUGCGCAGCAUAGGUGGAAGGCGUUGAGAUUACUCUUGCGGGAGUACUGGAGCCAUCAGUGAGAUACCACUCCUAUAAUGUUAGAUUUCUAACUUUGGAUCAUGAUCUGGUCAAAGAACAGUUUCAGGCGGGCAGUUUGACUGGGGCGGUCGCCUCCCAAAUGGUAACGGAGGCGUACAAAGGUUUCCUCUGAACGGGUAGAAAUCGUAUCUAGAGUGUAAAGGCAUAAGGAAGCUUGACUGUGAGACCUACAAGUCGAGCAGGGACGAAAGUCGGUCUUAGUGAUCUGACGGUGCUGAGUGGAAAGGCCGUCACUCAACGGAUAAAAGUUACUCUAGGAUAACAGGCUGAUCUCCCCCAAGAGUUCACAUCGACGGGGAGGUUUGGCACCUCGAUGUCGGCUCAUCGCAUCCUGGGGCGGUAGUACGUCCCAAGGGUUGGGCUUUUCGCCCAUGAAAGCGGUACGCGAGCUGGGUUCAGAACGUCGUGAGACAGUUCGGUCCAUAUCCGGUGUAGGCGUUAGAAUAUUGAGAGGAGCCUUCUUUAGUACGAGAGGACCGAGAAGGACAUACCUCUGGUGUACCAGUUAUCGUGCCAACGGUAAACGCUGGGUAGCUAUGUAUGGAGAGGAUAACCGCUGAAAGCAUCUAAGUGGGAAGCCCACCUCAAGAUGAGUAUUCUCAC